rnacentral:rRNA from 1 species
UACGUAGGUGGCAAGCGUUGUCCGGAUUUACUGGGCGUAAAGAGCGCGCAGGCGGUCGUUCAAGUCGCGUGUGAAAGCCCCCGGCUCAACUGGGGAGGGUCACGCGAUACUGAUCGACUCGAAGGCAGGAGAGGGAAGUGGAAUUCCCGGUGUAGUGGUGAAAUGCGUAGAUAUCGGGAGGAACACCAGUGGCGAAGGCGACUUUCUGGUCUGUAACUGACGCUGAGGCGCGAAAGCGUGGGUAGCAAACAGG